rnacentral:rRNA from 1 species
UACAGAGGGGGCAAGCGUUGUUCGGAAUUACUGGGCGUAAAGGGCGCGUAGGCGGCCUGCUAAGUCGAACGUGAAAUCCCUGGGCUCAACCCAGGAACUGCGUCCGAUACUGGUUGGCUUGAAUCCGGGAGAGGGAUGUGGAAUUCCCGGUGUAGCGGUGAAAUGUGUAGAGAUCGGGAGGAACACCGGUGGCGAAGGCGGGUCUCUGGGCAGUAACUGACGCUGAGGAGCGAAAGCGUGGGGAGCGAACAGG